CCAGGAGGAGGUGGCCGGCUCAGGCCCUGCGGGCACUCACCGGCCACAGUCAGCCCGAGCCGAGUGGUUCACUGUGCCCUGUGAUUUCUGGUUAGCCCCUGGAUCAAGGGCCUAUCCUGACUCAAGGCAAACUGGAUCUAGGUUCCUGCCUCAGGAAAUAAAUGCCAGAUUCAGUGUGGAGUCAUCUGACCAAGGCUGGGAAAGAAGUCAGAUGAGAGAGGCUCCUCUCGCCACGAGCUCUGCAGUUUGGCUGGAAAGCCCCUAGAGGGCAGUGUGAGGAAACUGAGCUGGGACUGCUGGGACUUACUUUAAAGGCUGUUCCCCAUGGAUAGGAAGAAAAAGAGGAUGCAGAAAACUGGAAGCUCCCCAGUCGAAACAUCUGUGUACUCCACGAUGACAGGAGCCAAAGAUCUCACUGUGGGAAUCUUCCAUUGUCCCUAACACGGGGCUAAGCACAUGUUGAUUUUUAGAAGGGAAAGAAAGUACAUGUCACCUAAACCAGAAGAAAAUCUCCCAAUCAUGGAUAUUUGGAUCCAGAGUGUAUGUUUAUGAUGACAGUUGCCUUUUGGAACAAAAUAUAGUACCAGGCUAGGGCA